GCGCCAUUUUGGCCCCUCAGGAAAGGCGAGGAAGAAGAAGGCCAGGUUGGCUUUGUUUUUUUGUGAGGGGAAAAAGGCCCUUCCACACAGCCAUUUAACCCAGAAUAGAUCCCCACAAGGAUUAGGCUUCGAACUGGGUUGUUAUCAGAGUCCACACUGCCAUAUAAUCCAGUUCAGUGUGGGUUUUAUACUGCUUUGGGUUGCCAAAGUGGAAGGCCUCACCAUUGGAGGCAGGAAGAGAAGAACCACCUUUGGAGCUCAUAAUGACUCCUCUGGACAAGUACUUUCAAAAAGUCCAUCCAAGAGAAAUAUUGAAUCUAGCAAGACUAUUGACCCACCAGAGGCUGGAGAUAUUUCCUUUGGAGUGUAACUCCCAGAAUCCACUAAGCAACCAUGCAUUUAACUUUUCCAAAGUGUUACAAAGUGUGAAUUUUGACAUGCAUCCUUGCCAUCAUCACCCACCGCUUGCUUCCCUCCCCGACCCCCUGCUAGUGUGCAAUCCAUUAUAUUUAUGGAGCAUCGCCAUGUUCUUUGUUCAUUAAAGGCUCAUCAUUUUAUGACUAUCUUUGCCACUCUUAAAUCUAUUUUGAAAGCUGUUUGUUGGCAUUGGAGGGAUGUUCAACCUUGAAAUGCCUGAUGCGCUGGACAUCUCUUGAUCGGGUGUCUUGAAGUCAGAAUUUACUGCAGAAUUGGCGACAACAAGGGAUGCAACUGGAUUAAAAGAGCAUUUAAAGAAUCCUAGAGUUGGAGUCGAUUCUAAAGGCCAUUUGGUCCAACCAAGUAUGAAGGCCCAGGAAGAGAACGGUCCAAAUUCUGAUGGAUGAACAGAAACCAAAGUAUAGGAUCUUGUUUACUUUUGAGCAAUAUGGUCUAUGGAUGCCGUGGAAUUCAAAAUACAACAACACACUGUCAUCCAGGCCAAUCUCAUAAGGAUUGUUGUGAUAUAAAACAGUGAAGGGCUAGUUCGUAUCCUCUUCUGAAAAAAAUGAGAUUAAAUGUGAACUAAAAAGUUUGACAGAGACAGCCUCCAGCCUUCGAUAGAUACGUUAGGUUGAGAAAACCACCAAAGGUAAGGAGACCAUCUUUCCAUGCCAUCCUUCUGCUAUUAAAUGGUCUGAAAAAAUAAAAUUGUGAUAAGAUGCUUAAAUCUUGUUUCAAGGGCUUGUUUCAACCUGCUAUCCUCCAGACUUUGCCCAGCUACAACUCCCAACAUUUCUAGCUUGGAUCUGAUAAAAGGUUGAGUUCCUUGGCGCAAUCGCUGCAGGGCCAUAGAUUAUGCUAACUUCCCAAAAAGCAUUGUUUUUUUCUCCAGAAUGGUAUUCAAGUCCAAGUAUGAAUGGUAACAUUUGGU
rnacentral:lncRNA from 1 species